UGUGUGGGUGUGUGUGUGUUUGUGUGUGUGUGUGGUUGUGUGUGUGUGUGGUUGUGGUUGUGUGUGUAUGUGUGUGGGUGAAACAUUCUCACCAUUUACAUACUCUGCUGUUAAGUCCAAACAGUGUUACGUCACAAUGAUACAGAAGAAGAUUUUACACAGCAGAUAAUGGUUGGUUGGAACCACCUAUCCCCCAGCCACCCCCAUUUCUCAUUGAUAAAAUACACAUAUUGAUAUCUUCCAGACUAAUUGGCCAAUAAGGUGCUAAUAAGGCCACUGAGACUUGUGUGAUGUCCUCUCUUCUCCAGUAGCAUACUAAUGAUGGUUUUGUUUUAACAAAGUGUUUUUCUAUUAAUGUUGCAUUCUGUGGCAACGAUUUCUAUGAAACAUCCACAGUAGAUUCAUUUAUAGCACCUUAGUUAUAUCACCCCAUAACAUAGACUUUAUAAGCAUUGCUGGAAUAAAAUCCAUAACAGCUCAUAGCUCCUUUUAGGAAUGUGUUGGAUGGACAUUGGUGGUACAAUGCAUUAUAACACUUGAUUCAUUCAUAAUGGCUGAUGAUCCAUAUGAGUGAAUAUAAAUGUAUGUAUGCCUCCAGUGCAUCAUAUAUAACUCAUUAUUGAACGGUAGUUUAAAUGAGUUAUUAGUAUUGUUAUUAAUUGUCCAGAAGUGACUGAAAGAAGGUCUUACCUGCAGUCUGUCUCCCAGGAAGCCUGUAUUUCAGCUCUAUAUCAACAUAAUCAUACAGGAGCUCAUCCCUGGAUCAAAGCUGUUUGAUUCUGUCAAUAGUGCUGUUGUUUUCUUGUGUUAUUGUUGCUCCACUGAACCAAGUACUGAAUAUACUGGUUUGGAGGUGUUAUGUUUUUUUACUGAGUACUAGUUGGGAGUGUUGCAGGAUUCUUUACUAUUAGUUUAGAGGUGUUGCAGGAUUCUUUACUAUUAGUUUAGAGGUGUUGCAGUUUUUUUUGUACAAUUAGUUUGGAGGUGUUGCAGGAUUCUUUACUAUUAGUUUAGAGGUGUUGCAGUUUUUUUUGUACAAUUAGUUUGGAGGUGUUGCAGGAUUCUUUACUAUUAGUUUAGAGGUGUUGCAGGGUUUUUUACUAUUAGUUUGAAGGUGUUGCAGGGUUUUGUACUAUUAGUUUAGAGGUGUUGCAGGGUUUUUUACUAUUAGUUUAGAGGUGUUGCAGGGCUCUUGACUAUUAGUUUAGAGGUGUUGCAGGGCUCUUAACUAUUAGUUUAGAGGUGUUGUAUGGUUUUUUACUAUUAGUUUAGAGGUGUUGCAGGGUUUUUUACUAUUAGUUUAGAGGUGUUGUAUGGUUUUUUACUAUUAGUUUAGAGGUGUUGUAUGGUUUUUUACUAUUAGUUUAGAGGUGUUGCAGGGUUUUUUACUAUUAGUUUAGAGGUGUUGUAUGGUUUUUUACUAUUAGUUUAGAGGUGUUGUAUGGUUUUUUACUAUUAGUUUAGAGGUGUUGUAUGGUUUUUUACUAUUAGUUUAGAGGUGUUGUAUGGUUUUUUACUAUUAGUUUAGAGGUGUUGUAUGGUUUUUUACUAUUAGUUUAGAGGUGUUGCAGGGUUUUUUACUAUUAGUUUAGAGGUGUUGUAUGGUUUUUUACUAUUAGUUUAGAGGUGUUGUAUGGUUUUUUACUAUUAGUUUAGAGGUGUUGUAUGGUUUUUUACUAUUAGU